AGAGUUUGAUCAUGGCUCAGAUUGAACGCUGGCGGCAUGCUUUACACAUGCAAGUCGAACGGCAGCACGGGGGCAACCUUGGUGGCGAGUGGCGAACGGGUGAGGAAUACAUCGGAACGUGUCUAUAAGUGGGGGAUAACGCAUCGAAAGAUGUGCUAAUACCGCAUAAUCUCUGAGGAGAAAAGCAGGGGAUCGCAAGACCUUGCGCUUUAGGAGCGGCCGAUGCCUGAUUAGCUAGUUGGUAAGGUAAAAGCUUACCAAGGCUUCGAUCAGUAGCUGGUCUGAGAGGACGACCAGCCACACUGGGACUGAGACACGGCCCAGACUCCUACGGUCGGCAGCAGUGGGGAAUUUUGGACAAUGGGGGAAACCCUGAUCCAGCCAUGCUGCGUGAGUGAAUAAGGCCUUCGGGUUGUAUAGCUCUUUCAGCCGGAACGAAACGGUUAGUGUUAAUAGCAUUAACUGCUGACGGUAUCAUCAGAAGAAGCACCGGCUAACUACGUGCCAGCAGCCGCGGUAAUACGUAGGGUGCGAGCGUUAAUCGGAAUUACUGGGCGUAAAGCGUGCGCAGGCGGUUUGAUAAGACAGGGGUGAAAUCCCCGAGCUCAACUUGGGAACUGCAUUUGUGACUGUCAGGCUAGAGUAUAGCAGAGGGGGGUAGAAUUCCACGUGUAGCAGUGAAAUGCGUAGAUAUGUGGAAGAAUACCGAUGGCGAAGGCAGCCCCCUGGGUUAAUACUGACGCUCAUGCACGAAAGCGUGGGGAGCAAACAGGAUUAGAUACCCUGUUAGUCAACGCCCUAAACGAUGUCAAAUAGGUGUUGGGGGAGGAGACUUCUUUAGUAACGUAGCUAACGCGUGAAGUUGACCGCCUGGGGAGUACGGUCGCAAGAUUAAAACUCAAAGGAAUUGACGGGGACCCGCACAAGCGGUGGAUUAUGUGGAUUAAUUCGAUGCAACGCGAAAAACCUUACCUACCCUUGACAUGUCAGGAACGAUUUAGAGAUAGAUUGGUGCUCGAAAGGGAACCUGAACACAGGUGCUGCACGGCUGUCGUCAGCUCGUGUCGUGAGAUGUUGGGUCAAGUCCCGCAACGAGCGCAACCCUUGUCAUUAAUUGCCAUCAUUUAGUUGGGCACUUUAAUGAGACUGCCGGUGAUAAACCGGAGGAAGGUGGGGAUGACGUCAAGUCCUCAUGGCCCUUAUGUCCAGGGCUACACACGUGCUACAAUGGCCAUCACAAAGAGUCGCAAGACCGCGAGGGUGAGCUAAUCCCAAAAAGCCGGUCUUAGUUCGGAUUGGAGUCUGCAACUCGACUCCAUGAAGCUGGAAUCGCUAGUAAUCGCGGAUCAGAAUGCCGCGGUGAAUACGUUCCCGGGCCUUGUACACACCGCCCGUCACACCACGAAAGUUGGCUGUACUAGAAGUGCGUGGGCUAACUGUUCGCAGGGGCAGCGUACCAAGGUAUGGUUGGUAAUUGGGGUGAAGUCGUAACAAGGUAACCGUA
rnacentral:rRNA from 1 species